rnacentral:misc_RNA from 1 species
GCUGAAAAAUAGUUAGUAGUUAAACAGUUCCACUCGAAGCAAGAUUAUUUCCCUGCUUUUUUAAAAUUUAUAACAAUACAUAUAAAUGAUACUUGUAGCUAAAGUUAGACAUAAAUUAAUAUUCUUUCUUUUGUUUAUAAAUUUGAGAUUUGUUAAAUGUGGAAUCUCAGUAUGUAAUAAGAUUCCAAAAGAUCAAAUGACAGAAAGAACAGAAGGUGAUAAUGGGUUUUCAGUCAUGCUCAAUGGUUCACCUCGGUUGUAUCGACCACAUCAAACUUACACAAUUACACUAGGAGGAUGGAGGGAUGAAAUGGUUGUAAAAUUUCAAGAUUUUAUACUUGUUGCAGAACCAGCGCGUGGACAUGAAAUAACUGACCCUAAUUCACUAGGAACCUUUCAACUUAUGCCGCUAGAUGCAAUGACAAAAUUCAGUCACUUAUGCUCACACGCAAUUGGAGCAACAAGUUCCAUAAGUAAAAAAAAUAUACAGGUCCAUUGGAUAGCUCCGAGAAGAAAUUCUGGAUGCAUCAGUUUCAAAGCUAUGGUAAUUGAAAGACCGGGAAUAUGGUUUAUGGACGAUGGUGCUUUAAGUUAUACUGUUUGUGAGGAUUCUUCAGCUCUAGCUGAACCACAAAAUGUAGAUCCCUGUUGUGCCUGCAAUGAAGCAAAAUAUGAAAUUGUAUUUCAAGGUAUUUGGUCUCGCCACACUCAUCCUAAGAAUUUUCCAGAAGACGAAUGGCGAACACAAUUUUCCACAUUAAUUGGUGCAAGUCACAGCUCAAAUUUCUCAAUAUGGGAUUAUGGAGAAAUUGCAUCGUCAGCUCUUCAGGAACUUGGUGAAAAUGGGAUUACCCGACCAUUGGAAUCACAAAUGAAACAAUAUAGUCACACUAUACGAUCUGUAAUCAAAGCUCAUGGACUUCAACAACGAUCAAAUGUCGAAGGGCAGACUUUUGCAGUCUUUCGUGUAGACAAAAUCCAUCAUUUACUUUCAGUUGUUUCAAAAAUGAUACCUAGUCCCGAUUUCAUCGUUGGAGUUUCUAAAGAAAAUCUUUGUUUAUCCAAUUGUUCAUGGGUACCAUAUCGUGUUGUAGAUUUGUACCCCUGGGAUAUUGGAACAGAUAGUGGGAUCACUUAUAACGAUCCUCCAAAUCCACAAAGACCAAAAGAUAUCAUUAAAAGGAUUACAUCAAAUUAUCCAAAUGAUCCUAAGUCUCCAUUUUUCGAUAUAAGCGGAGCUCCAAUAAAACCGGCUGCAAGACUUCAUAUUAUACGUCAAAAGACUUAUAAGAGGAGCAAUUGUCCUCUUGAAAUGGGUUAUCAAACAAGCUCCAAUCCAAUGAACCCUAGUUGGAUUAAUACCUUUUCCAAAGAAACGAAUAAUAAUAAGAAAAUGACGCAAAACAGUUUUUAUCAGGAAGAUUCUACAACACUUGAACAAAAUAAUAAUAAUCGAUCAAACAAAAACAUACCUUUGAGAUUUGAAUUUACAGGUUCCAGUAUUCAUGAAAGUUCGGCAAAUAAUGAUAUUCAUUCUGUAAAAUUUUCUGACAACGUUUUAAUACCUGAAAGUAACGAAGAUAAAAACGAACUUUACGAUACUAUAUCAUGCAAAAAAACAGAGUGGGAGGACUGGAGUAAGUGUUCACGAACUUGUGGUUUUGGCUCAAGGCUAAGAUUGAGACAAUUUGUAAACCAUAGUGCAUCAAAAAAUAGUAAUUGUGUCGAUAAAAACGUGGAAAAAGAAGUUUGCCAGAAUUUACCAAUAUGUAGUGCUACAAGAUACGGUGGUAAUUUUGAUUUAUUUGAAUCUGGAAGUCAGAAUAAGAUUAUAUGGGACAGUAAGAGGAAUAAAGAUACUUUAGACAUCUCCUACGUAAAUCAUAAUAUUAAUCCAAAUUUUAUUAAUCAUGAAGAAAAACAGUCUUAUGAAUAUCCACCUAGAUUCGAUUAUAUGGUAAAAAAAUUAUCAUAUGAUGAAAAAUCUUCGAAAGAAAUGGACUGUAGUCUAACAAACUAUGGACCUUGGUCGGAUUGCUCAGUUUCUUGUGGCAAAGGGUCAAAAACAAGGAUUCGACGGUAUAAAGAACCAUCAAAAAGUUUUGAAUGUACUAAGGAGCUCUAUCAGAUUAACGACUGUAUUUCCAACUUUUGUUAUGGUCAUCAAAAUUCUGUUUAUAUUCUAAAAAAUAAAAUUAACAAUAACAAAUAUAACUCUAGCAAUAAAAAUCCAUCUUGUAAAAUAUCCGAAUGGAGUUCAUGGAGCCCAUGUUCCAAAAAAUGUAAUCAAGGAUACAAAAUAAGAACAAGAUUAUAUUUAAUUCCCUUUGUUCCAAAUCGAUCUUGUGACGUGAAGCUAAUGGAUAGACUGAACUGUAACGACGCUGGAUUAAAAUGUUCAUCAACAGCUUCUAAGGAUUUUGACAUAUUUGAAGAUUUUACAAGUAUUCAUGGAGGGAAAAAUCGAGAACCCAUUUAUACAGAUGAAUCAGAAAAUAGUAUAUGUAAACUCUCCCCUGAUGACCUUGCAGAGGUCAUUAUUCCAGAUGGUAUUUCAAUGCAAAUGACAAUAAUUGUCAAAAGUUUGAAUUUUUUGGAUGUGAUGGUAACAAAAACAAUUUUCCAUCAGAAGAACAAUGUAUGGAAACAUGUUACACACAUUCUUCAAAAGAUUGGAGUACUUAUGAUCGUAAAAUAUUAAAAUACACUUUGAAAAAUGAGAUGCCAAUGGAUCAACCUUUAAAUGAUAUUUAUUCCAAGAAAAGUGAAUGUAAAUUUGAAAAAUGGACUCAAUGGUCUGAAUGCGUAUCACCGUGUAGAAGAAUUGGAUGGCGAUCAAGAAUUCGUAAAAAGAAAUUUGUUACUCAUUCAAGUCGAUGUUCCAAUCGAAUUUUUGAAAAGAAGAAAUGUAUCAAUACUGUAGACUGUUUUAAAU